ensembl:snoRNA
GCGGUAUGAAAAUCACCUGGGUUCUCCCGUGGCCCCUGGUGGGGUAACCGUGCCGACAGCAAAGGGAACAUAAAGCUUACUGCCCGCAGCGACGUGCGGGGAGUAAAACCCAUGUUCCCAUACGC